AGAAAAGAAAUCGCUCUUCACAUGAAGCCAGGAGCAGCACCAGACAAAGUUUUAUUCACCUACGAUGAUGAUGAUCAAGAGUUGGAUAUGACCUUGCUCUACACAGAUUACAAAGCAUGUGCCAUCGUCGAUCUUCCUUUUAAGGGAAGGAAAGAGUGCCUGAUGUGGGUUCCAUACGCAAUUAAAGACGCCGUUCCAGUGCACUGUGUCGAGCAUUACGAUGAAAGCUGCGAAGUAAAAAUUCCUUCAUAUGACCGAGAUACCUGCAGUCAAGUUCCAGACGAGCUUUAAAGCACGAGAUGUGUAAAAAGAAGGUAAAAAUUUGGAUGUCUUGCAGUUGCAGCGUCCUUUGUGCAAUAAAGUCACCUUCCGUAAAUGCCAUAA